rnacentral:rRNA from 1 species
GAGUUUGAUCAUGGCUCAGGACGAACGCUGGCGGCGUGCCUAAUACAUGCAAGUCGAGCGAGGGUUUUCGGACCCUAGCGGCGGACGGGUGAGUAACACGUAGGCAACCUGCCUCUCAGACCGGGAUAACAUAGGGAAACUUAUGCUAAUACCGGAUAGGUUUUUGGAUUGCAUGAUCCGAAAAGAAAAGAUGGCUUUUGGCUAUCACUGGGAGAUGGGCCUGCGGCGCAUUAGCUAGUUGGUGGGGUAACGGCCUACCAAGGCGACGAUGCGUAGCCGACCUGAGAGGGUGACCGGCCACACUGGGACUGAGACAGGCCCAGACUCCUACGGGAGGCAGCAGUAGGGAAUUUUCCACAAUGGACGAAAGUCUGAUGGAGCAACGCCGCGUGAACGAUGAAGGUCUUCGGAUUGUAAAGUUCUGUUGUCAGGGACGAACACGUACCGUUCGAAUAGGGCGGUACCUUGACGGUACCUGACGAGAAAGCCACGGCUAACUACGUGCCAGCAGCCGCGCCGUAAG